rnacentral:lncRNA from 1 species
GUCGUCAUCGAAAAGUUUUCUUCUCAUCACAUCCCUUUGCUCCAUCUUUCAAUAGGACUUUGUUUUAGGAGACAUAUGGGUGGUAUCCAUAGCCAUGAUUUUCAUCUCUUUAUCCUCCAUGUCUUUUAAUUGUGCUUGCUGCCUUUCAAUUGCAAAUACUUCAUGUCGUGCCUUGUCCGCUUCUUCUCUUUUCAAGUCUCCCUCAAGUCUCAGUGCACUAUUCUUAGCAACUUGCUCCAAAAAUUGUGCACAUUCAUUGUUCGAAGUGCUUCCUUUCUUCGCCUUUGCCGCCUUUCUCCCAAUAGGUCUCGGUGCACGUGGGAGUGGUGAGUCUUGAUCCAUUGGGG